GCGAGUCUUUGUAGUAAUACAAGGCAGACGGCUCAGUAACACGUAGUCAACUUACCCUAUGGACGAGGAUAAUCUCGGGAAACUGAGCAUAAUACUCGAUAGAUCAUAAUGCCUGGAAUGGUUUAUGGUUGAAAUGAUUCGUCGCCAUAGGAUGGGACUGCGGCCUAUCAGCUUGUUGGUGAGGUAAUGGCCCACCAAGGCGAUUACAGGUACGGGCUCUAAGAGGAGAAGCCCGGAGAUGGGUACUGAGACAAGGACCCAGGCCCUAUGGGGCGCAGCAGGCGAGGAAACUUUGCAAUGUGCGAAAGCACGACAAGGUUAAUCCGAGUGAUUUCUGCUAAAGAAAUCUUUUGCAAGUCAUAAAACCACUAGUGAAUAAGGGGUGGGCAAGUUCUGGUGUCAGCCGCCGCGGUAAAACCAGCACCUCAAGUGGUCAGGAGGAUUAUUGGGCCUAAAGCAUCCGUGGCCGGCUCUGUAAGUUUUCGGUUAAAUCCAUGUGCUCAACGCAUGGGCUGCCGAAAAUACUGCAUAGCUAGGGAGUGGGAGAGGUAGACGGUACUCAGUAGGAAGGGGUAAAAUCCUUUGAUCUAUUGAUGACCACCUGUGGCGAAGGCGGUCUACCAGAACACGUUCGACGGUGAGGGAUGAAAGCUGGGGGAGCAAACCGGAUUA
rnacentral:rRNA from 1 species